rnacentral:rRNA from 1 species
CCUACGGGGGGCAGCAGUGAGGAAUAUUGGUCAAUGGGCGCAAGCCUGAACCAGCCAAGUCGCGUGAGGGAUGACGGUCCUAUGGAUUGUAAACCUCUUUUGUCGGGGCGCAAGGCCCGCCACGUGUGGCGGGAAGGAGAGUACCCGAAGAAAAAGCAUCGGCUAACUCCGUGCCAGCAGCCGCGGUAAUACGGAGGAUGCGAGCGUUAUCCGGAUUUAUUGGGUUUAAAGGGUGCGUAGGCGGAAGGUUAAGUCAGCGGUCAAAUGUCGGUGCUCAACACCGGCCUGCCGUUGAAACUGGUCGUCUUGAGUGAGCGAGAAGUAUGUGCAAUGCGUGGUGUGGCGGUGAAAUGCAUAGAUAUCACGCAGAACUCCGAUUGCGAAGGCAGCAUACCGGCGCUCAACUGACGCUGAGGCACGAAAGCGUGGGGAUCGAACAGGAUUAGAUACCCUUGUAGUC